GCCCAAAUCCCAGCAAGCGCUACCGUGUUUUCUUAAACUUUAAUGCAGGAGUAGCCCAAACGGCAGCAAAAGGAACUAGCAGUGUGUGUGUUAAAAGUUUAAGGACUUAUUUGCAGGAUUGAGGCCCAAAUCUUCCAAAAGGUGGGCAAAAUUCUAUCCUCAUAUUUAAUUGUCCAAAUAUACAAAGAGGCACCUAUAAAUUAUGUAUAUUGGCACCAUUUAACCUCCCUGGAAAUCCCCCCUUUUUAAUCCAGUGGCAGAAUUUCAUCAGUAAAUCCAGCACCAAAAAAAGUGAGUAACCUAGUGGGAUUCCAAUUCAGGAGAAAAUUGGGCACAUAAUCUGACAUGUAACCACCCACCCUCCCACCUCUUCCCCCACUUUGUUCAGGCACAGCCUAGGCACUCUAUUGAAAGACAAACCCAAUCUUACUGGACCCUCCUUUUCCUAAAAUUUUGUCACUGAAACAAAAAGCAAAGCUACAUAUCUAAUCUGCCAGCUCAGAAGAAUUGUCUUUCUGAGUAGUGCAGAUAGAGAAGUAACUGGAUUUUGAUAGUUGUCCCUCAAGAGCUCAAAACUCCUCACAUAUACAUAGUACCUACUGAUUCUGAUUAGAGUCAGGUAUGUGCAUAGUAUUGCAAAAAAAAGUAUUCCGACUAAUGUGUUUAUUUUUUUUAGUUCUUUGCUAUCCCUGCAAAGCAGCAGCAGCAAUUUCUUUCCAUCUACAGAUAAGUGAAAAUUCCCAAGAGAGAAAAAAAAGGCUAAGUUCUUACCUAAGUUUUGGCAAACAGUCACUCUUAAGUAUUAUUAGGAGACUAGACUGCUCCCCUACCCCCUCUCAAAAAAUACUACUACUUAUUAUGGUCAAAAUCUCCAGUCCUUGUUAAGUUCAUUCAUAUCCCAGGCAUACACAACAUCUGAAAAGGGGCCCUAGAAUCUGACCUUGACACUGGCACCUACAGGAAAGGCCCUAUAAAAAAAUGUAAACAGACAAAGAUGCAUGAAAACUCAUAACAGAUUCUUGACACUGGAAGCAAUUUGCUUUUGUCCCGUUCUCCCAGCCAGAGAAAUCUGAGUUGACAAUGGAUCCGUUGAAAGUCAGGCCACAUAUUAAGGAUAAAUUCUUAUCACUGUACAAGCUUCUCAGCUUACUAUCAUUUACUGACUUAAGAAAAUAUAUUUUCUUCAUCUCUCCUUUUUGUACUUCAUUUGAGAGGCAGCUCUCUUUCAAAUCCUGUGCAUCAUCCAGUCACGUUCACCUUGAUUCUCUUGCCUCAUCACUUCAUACAUAGCUUACUCUUAGUUUCCUACCUCCAAGGAAAUUAUUUAAAACAAAAAACAAUUUUAACUUAGCCCAACCUUUACUUCAUUAUGUGAACGUAACUUGAAACCUAAAUUUGGAGCCUACUUGAUAAUUGAUUUUAAAAAUAAAGAUGCACAAUUUAGUAGUGGACAGGGCAACAAUAUUUAAGAGUUUUCCCCCCCUAAAGAGUUAUCUGCUAUACUACUACUUUCUUCUACAAUUAAGCAUCUAAGCUUUAUUGCAGAAAAGAUGAAAUUCAUGACAGCCAACCAGAAAGUACACAAACACAAGAGCCUACAUUUUCACUAGAAAUUAAAAAUCACUGUCAUUACACAGCACUCUUUUUUUUUGUUGUUUACUUUUUAUAUAUGCCUCAAUGACACCUUUAAGAGAGGUAAAUACAGAACAGGUCCAUCUAUUCAAUACAAAGCACCAGCACCACAAACGUCAAGUACACAGAAAGUUUGUUUUAAAUAUUUUUAACAAUUUAGAACUAAAAAAAUAUUACUUUAAAAGGCAUCUUUAUUUAUGUUCCUCCAUCCAGGGCUGGUGGGGUUGUACUCUCCCUACCACAUGGUCGCCACCCUUCUACUCUCUUCCCUUGCCAUUUCACAUUCCUGGAAGAGGCAGAUACAGUGCGACUGGGACCUGCAACCACAGUGCUGUCUAUAAAAAUAGAAUUCAUUCAGACUUUCUGCUUGCAUUCGGAAGGCAUGCACAGCCAGCCCCCAAAUUCUUCCCACUGCAACUAAAAUGUCAGCACGCACACAUACACACAGACGUAUACAUACACACACAUACACACACACACAAACCACAUAUGCUAUGAUCUUCUAGACACGUUUUUUCUAAAUAGCAAUGCAACAACGAAGGCAAUAGGUAAGUAAUACAUGGGAUUUCUCUGGUAACAUAUGGCACAGCCCCCUCUCACAUUGCUGGCAUUCUCACCAACGUGCUGCUUUAUUCUCUAUCCCAUAAAUUCAGUUUUCUGCAUCAAGAUCUGCAACUACUCACUGGGACACCAGUUCAAGAAUGCAUCAAUUAAACUUGUUUGAGAAAACACUCAGACACAUGCGUAAGUCCCAUUUGUUUAAAAGACCCAUUAAAAUUAAAGCAUAUGCUUAAGCAUUUUCCUAAAUUAAAGCUAUAACGAGCCCGGUAGCUGAAGCAACAAGUGCCAAUUUACAGAAUGUUUCUUUCAGUGUCAUCAUUCAAUUCCUGGUUACCUGUAUGGAAGCUCUGAGGCUGCUAUAAAAGGCUGCACUUUUGGUAUGUUCUUCCCUCUAGAAAAUUGCCUUUUGACUCUUAUUUAAACAAUGAACAGAUAGUUCACUCUUUCUGACCAAAAACAUAUCUGCAACAUCAGAUCUCUCUGAUCAGUGUUCAAGGCCAUUCUUUAGUGAAUUAAGGACACACUUUUCAUGUUUCUGAAAAGAAACAGAUGCAUCUUAUUAUCUUAAAAUCUGCUAAUGUAAAAUGUACAUAAACCAUCAUUUUACCCAUUAUUCAACGAUACUGGCAGCAUGAUGUAUAAUUUCAAAGCUUAACUCCCAGUAUUGACAUUCAUGGCAGUUAUUGCAUUUCAGAACACUAGCAGAAUAGAAAAUUAUCUUUCAAUAGUCUCAAUUACCAACAGUAAAUACCAAAAGAACAUUUUCAAAGAUUUUAUUUUAAAAAUCUUCUAUUCCAAUUAUUUUACAAAUAAUCUGUUCCUCUUAACAGGAGGUGAGUAGUGUUCUAGGAGUGAUCAGUGAAAGGAUGCAAUCUAAUGCAAGAGAACCAGUUGUUUUCUUUCUCUCUCCUAGUUAAUCAAAAAAUACCUUGGCUUCAAAGCAGCCAAAAAUUUGUAUCAUGUAUGUACUGGCUUGUAAACCAAUUAUUUAAAUGGGUAAAGGUGAGCCAUUGUGUGUUAUUUAAUUGAGGGACACCUGGCAUACAUAUGGAUAGACAAAUCAACUUCUCUGCUGGACUUGAGCAACUGAACAAGCACCUUUAAAAGAGAAAUCACCAGGGCUCUGCUCAAUUGGAUGGCCUGCCUCUUCCCACUCGCAGAAUUGACCUAAAUAUGCAAUAUAGGAAUUAGGGAUAUAGCCUCUAAAUUAGAACUUCCUAGACCUUAAAUGCUGGAGGCUGCAAGUGAUAGGAACAGUGGAAAAAACCCUGGUCAUACCCGUUCACUAUCCCUUUCAGCAUCCGCUACCACUGUGAGACACAGGAUACUGGGCAAGAUGGAAUAUGGUCUGACCCAGUAAAUGGCAAUUCUUAUGUUUUCUAAUGGAUAAUGCACAAGUGUGUAAUCUGGCACUGCACUUGAGUAACAGUUUCCCAUCCCAUGCUCUUGCUUAUGUGGCCUUCAUCUAAAGCCAUACUGUAAGUUAACAAUGUGCCUUGUUAGGGGACAGCACAGCCAAGUGCUGCUUCCAACAGAGCGCAGAAUGAACAGAGGCAGUUCCUGCUCCAGAGCCCCUAAUCUCUUGUGCAUCAUAUAGUACAAUACACCAUCUGACCUACCAGCAAGUGUGAAAGUAAAGUGCACAUGGGAAUGGAGAUGCAGAAUGCUGGAAUUAUUUUUCAAUAAAUGAAUAAAGGUGUUUGACAACUAAGGAACUAAACUCUAAAUAGCAACAACAACAUAAUCGUGUAUAACUCAGUCUAGCAAUUUGGAGUUCCUAACCGUAUCUCCUUUCCUUUCAUGGAUGUUACCUUAACUCUCCAAGUAAGUCUCUGCUGUUAUGAAACUCAUUCAAAGAAAUGCUCAGAAGGCAAACCUAUUAUGAUUGCCCAAUCCUGUGAUUUUACACUGGGGUAACAUUCAUCUCUAAAAAUAGGCUCUUUCCCUAAGUGCCCAUUAAUUCUUUUUCACCCAAUUAAAAAAAAAAAAAAUCUUCAAUUGAAUUCACUUUACCCAGGAAGACUAUCAACUGUUCUUGUUCUCUUUAAUUCUGAAAUGGUCCAACAUUUAGAUCCUUUUUUGGAUGUUACACACAAUAUAUUAAAUGUAGACAUUUAUUACAAUCUUUCUUGCCACAUAUCAUAAAAUAAAUUAAUACAAUCACCGUAACAAUAUCACACAAAAAAUCAUCACUUUCCAAUCAAAAUAAGUAUAAGAUACGUCUAAACAAGGCAGUAUUUUUAGCUAGAAACCUUGGUCCU